GGGCCCGCACAAGCGGUGGAGUAUGUGGUUUAAUUCGAUGCAACGCGAAGAACCUUACCAGGGUUUGACAUCCUGCGAAUCUCUUGGAAACGAGAGAGUGCCUUCGGGAACGCAGUGACAGGUGGUGCAUGGCUGUCGUCAGCUCGUGUCGUGAGAUGUUGGGUUAAGUCCCGCAACGAGCGCAACCCACGUCUUUAGUUGCCAGCAUUUAGUUGGGCACUCUAUGGAAACUGCCCGUGAUAAGCGGGAGGAAGGUGUGGAUGACGUCAAGUCCUCAUGGCCCUUACGGGUUGGGCUACACACGUGCUACAAUGGCAGUGACAAUGGGU
rnacentral:rRNA from 1 species